AUUGAACGCUGGCGGCAUGCUUUACACAUGCAAGUCGAACGGUAACAGGUUAAGCUGACGAGUGGCGAACGGGUGAGUAAUGCAUCGGAACGUGCCCGAUCGUGGGGGAUAACGCAGCGAAAGCUGCGCUAAUACCGCAUACGAUCUGAGGAUGAAAGCGGGGGACCGUAAGGCCUCGCGCGAUCGGAGCGGCCGAGGUCAGAUUAGGUAGUUGGUGGGGUAAAGGCCCACCAAGCCGACGAUCUGUAGCGGGUCUGAGAGGACGACCAGCCGCACUGGGUAUGAGACACAGCCCAGACUCCUACAGGAGGCAGCAGUGGGGAAUUGUGGACAAUGGGCGAAAGCCUGAUCCAGCAAUGACGCGUGCAGGAUGAAGGCCUUCGGGUUGUAAACUGCUUUUGUACGGAACGAAAAGACUCCUUCUAAUACAGGGGGUCCAUGACGGUACCGUAAGAAUAAGCACCGGCUAACUACGUGCCAGCAGCCGCAGUAA
rnacentral:rRNA from 1 species